UUGACGGGACCGCACAAGCGGUGGAUGAUGUGGUUUAAUCGAUGCAACGCGAAAACCUUACCCACCUUUGACAUGGCAGGAAUCCUGAAGAGAUUUGGGAGUGCUCGAAAGAGAACCUGCACACAGGUGCUGCAUGGCUGUCGUCAGCUCGUGUCGUGAGAUGUUGGGUUAAGUCCCGCAACGAGCGCAACCCUUGCCAUUAGUUGCUACGAAAGGGCACUCUAAUGGGACUGCCGGUGACAAACCGGAGGAAGGUGGGGAUGACGUCAAGUCCUCAUGGCCCUUAUAGGUGGGGCUACACACGUCAUACAAUGGCUGGUACAAAGGGUUGCCAACCCGCGAGGGGGAGCCAAUCCCAUAAAGCCAGUCGUAGUCCGGAUCGCAGUCUGCAACUCGACUGCGUGAAGUCGGAAUCGCUAGUAAUCGUGGAUCAGAAUGUCACGGUGAAUACGUUCCCGGGUCUU
rnacentral:rRNA from 1 species